rnacentral:lncRNA from 1 species
GUAUCUGCUGGCCAGGCAUGUAGUGCAGAUAGCGUGGACAUAAUGGGCAGGCAGGUAGUGUAGACAGGGUGGAUCUGGUGAUCAGGCAGGUAGUGUAGAUAGCGUUGAUCUACUGGACAGGCAGGUAGUGUAGACAGCGUGGAUCUGUUGGACAGGCAGGUAGUAUAGACAGGUGGAUCUGCUGGCCAGGCAGGUAGUAUAGACAGGGUGGAUCAGCUGGCCAGGGAGGUAGUAUAGACAGGGUGGAUCUGCUGGACAGGCGGAUAGUAUAGACAGGGUGUAUUUGUUGGCCAGGCAGGUAGUGUAAAUAGCGUGGAGAUAAUGGCCAGGGAGGUAGUGUAGACAGGGUGGAUCUGCUGGACAGGCAGGUAGUGUAGAUAGCAUGGAUCUACUGGACAGGCAGGUAGUGUAGACAGGGUGGACCUGCUGGGCAGGCAGGUAGUGUAGACAGGGUGGACCUGCUGAGCAGGCUGGUAGUGUAGACAGGGUGGAUCUGCUGGCCAGGCAGGUAGUGUAGAUAGCAUGGAUCUGCUGGCCAGGCAGGUAGUGUAGACAUUCUGCUGGACAGGCAGGUAGCGUAGAUAGGGUGGACAUGCUGGCCAGGCAGCUAGUGUACACAGGGUGGAUCUGCUGGCCAAGCAGGUAGUGUAGACAGGGUGGAUCUGCUGGGCAGGCAGGUAGUGUAGACGUAGAUAGGGUGCACCUGCUGGAUAGGGAGGUAGUGUAUACAGGGUGGACCUGCUGGGCAAGCAGGUAGUGUGCACGUAGUGUAGACAGGGUGGACCUGCUGGUCAAGCAGAUAGUGUAGACAGGGUGGAUCUGCUGGCCAGGCAGGUAGUGUAGGUACCGUGGAUCUACUGGCAGGCAGGUAUUGUAGACAGGGUGGACCUGCUGGAUAGGCAGGUAGUAUAGACAGGGUGUAUCUGCUCGACAGGCAGGUAGUAUAAACAGGGUGGCUCUGCUGGACAGGUAGGGAUUGUAGAUAGCGUGGAUCUGCUGGCCAGGGAGGUAGUGUAGAUAGCAUGGAUCUCCUGGCCAGGCAGGUAGUAUAGACAGGGUGGAUCUGCUGGGCAGGCAGGUAGUGUAGACAGGGUGGAUCUGCUGGCCAGGCAGGUAGUGUAGACAGGGUGGAUCUGCUGGGCAGGCAGGUAGUAUAGACAAGGUGGAUCUGCUGGCCAGGCAGGUAGUGUAGACAGGGUAGAUCUGCUGGGCAGGCAGGUAGUGUAGAUAGCAUGGAUCUACUGGCCAGGCAGGUAGUGUAGACAGGGAGGAUCUUCUGGGCAGGCAGGUAGUUUAGACAGGGUGGACCUGCUGGAGAAGCAGGUAGUGUAGACAGGGUGGAUCUGCUGUCCACGCAGGUAGUGUAGAUAGUGUGGAUCUACUGGCCAGGCAGGUAGUGUAGACACGGUGGAUAUGCUGGGCAGGCAGGUAGUGUAGACAGGGAGGACCUCCUGGACAAGAAGGUAGUGUAGACAGGGUGGAUCUGCUGGCCAGGCAGGUAGUGUAGACUGGGUGGAUCUGCUGGGCAGGCAGGUAGUGUAGACUGGGUGGAUCUGCUGGGCAGGCAGGUAGUGUAGACAGGGUGGAUCUGCUGGCCAGGCGGGUAGUGUAGACAGGGUGGAUCUUCUGGACAGGCAGGUAAUUUAGACAGGGUGGAUCUGCUGGCCAGGAAGGUCGUGUAGAUAGCGUGGAUCUACUGGCCAGGC